rnacentral:rRNA from 1 species
UCCUGGCUCAGAGUGAACGCUAGCGGCGUGGUUAAGACAUGCAAGUCGAACGAUGAGGCCCAGCUUGCUGGGUUGAUUAGUGGCAUACGGGUGCGUAACACGUGAGCAACCUGCCUUGAAGUGGGGAAUAGCCCGGGGAAACCCGGAUUAAUACCGCAUGUGGUCCCUUUUCGCAUGAAAAGACGACUAAAGUUUGCAAUGACUCUUCAAGAGGGGCUCGCGGCCUAUCAGCUUGUUGGUGAGGUAAAGGCUCACCAAGGCUAAGACGGGUAGCUGGUCUGAGAGGAUGAUCAGCCACACUGGAACUGAGAUACGGUCCAGACACCUACGGGUGGCAGCAGUUUCGAAUCAUUCACAAUGGGGGAAACCCUGAUGGUGCAACGCCGCGUGGAGGAUGACGGCCUUCGGGUUGUAAACUCCUGUCACCAAGGAACAAACGGCAGGUUCAUAGCCUGUUCUGAGUUAACUUGGAGAGGAAGAGGUGGCUAACUCCGUGCCAGCAGCCGCGGUAAUACGAAGGGGGCAAGCGUUAUUCAGUAGAAUUGGGUGUAAAGGGUUUGUAGAUGGUAAAUAGGUUGUUUAAAAUUGAAUUUAAAAGCUUAACUUUUAUAAAGAUUUUAAAAACACUUCUUACUUGAGUAUAAAAAAGGAUUAGGGAAUUAUAAAGGAAGAAAUGAAAUUCGAAGAUCUUUAUAGGAACAUCAAAGGUGAAGACACUAAUCUAUUUUAUAACUAACAUUGAGGAACGAAGGAAUGGGUAGCAAAUAGGAUUUGGCACCCUAGUAGUCCAUUCAGUAAAAUAUGAAUGCUCCCAUAUAGAAUUUUUAUUUUGUGUGGCAAGUAAACACGUUAAGCAUUCCACCUGAGGAGUACAGUCGCAAGACCGGAACUCAAAGGAAUUGACGGGGGCCUAUACAAGUGGUGGAGCAUGUGGUUUAAUGCGAUAAUACGCGCGUAAUCUUACCAGUUUUUGA